rnacentral:rRNA from 1 species
UACGUAGGUGGCAAGCGUUGUCCGGAAUUAUUGGGCGGAAAGCGCGCGCAGGCGGUCCCUUAAGUCUGAUGUGAAAGCCCACGGCUCAACCGUGGAGGGUCAUUGGAAACUGGGGGACUUGAGUGCAGGAGAGAAGAGUGGAAUUCCACGUGUAGCGGUGAAAUGCGUAGAGAUGUGGAGGAACACCAGUGGCGAAGGCGACUCUUUGGCCUGUAACUGACGCUGAGGCGCGAAAGCGUGGGGAGCAAACAGG